rnacentral:misc_RNA from 1 species
AUAGCUGGCAAUGGAUCAUCUUCUGCAGCUUCAGAAAAGGAAGAAGUGGGUUCUUCAAGAACAGGAGGUAGGUAAGCCGAAUAUAUGGAGCUAGGAUCAUCAAGGGCAGCUGGUCCCCAGUUGGCUGAAGGUUCUCUCUCAUUCUGUUGUCCCUCUGCAUCUGGAUCAUCCCUCUCAUUGUUGCUAACAGGCUCACGGAACGUGACUUGUUUAUUAGUGGUUUCUUCACCAUAAUGUACAGCACGAGCAUCAGCCCUUGUAACUGCAAACUGUGCUGGUAUAUCAUGGGCCACAGAGUUCCUGCUUGCAAGAGGUGAACGUCUCACCACAUCAUCCAGUUCUAGAUUUUUUGAAACAGCACCCCCUAAACCUCUCUGUUGCUGACUCAAUAGAUCCCAAUCUGUUGUCUGUGCGUCAAGAGAAGUCAUUGGUAUCUUUCCGUCAGAAUAUGUUGGCUGUGGCACCAAUUCAAGCCCAUUUUUGUUCAGUGCACCACCAGUGGAACGAGAUGGUGACUGAGCAACAUUUGAGUGGUUCAAAUCUGAACGCCAAGGUGCCAAUUGAUACUGGGAUUCCUUGAGCUUAGACUCAGUUUGAAUGAGCUUCUCCUGGAGAUGCCUGAACAGAACCCUGACAUUGCUAACAAUAGACUGGGCAUCUGGAACUGGUGGCUGNCAAAGAAUACUCGGCAAGAAGGGGCAGCAAAGAUGAGACAAAUGUUGAUCUUUCUUGCUGUGCAGCCUGCAAUUCAUAUGUCAGACGUAUAUUUUCUUCAAUUAUUUCUUGUCUGUAUGAGAGAGCUUUUGACGCUGCA